rnacentral:rRNA from 1 species
GACGAACGCUGGCGGCGUGCUUAACACAUGCCAGUCGAGCGGAAAGGCCACUUCGGUGGUACUCGAGCGGCGCACGGGUGAGUAACACGUGAGUAAUCUGCCCCUCACUUUGGGAUAGCCACCGGAAACGGUGAUUAAUACCGGAUAUGACCAUAUGUCGCAUGGCGUGUGGUGGAAAGUUUUUCGGUGAGGGAUGUGCUCGCGGCCUAUCAGCUUGAUGGUGAGGUAAUGGCUCACCAUGGCUUCGACGGGUAGCCGGCCUGAGAGGGUGACCGGUCACACUGGGACUGAGACACGGCCCAGACUCCUACGGGAGGCAGCAGUGGGGAAUAUUGGACAAUGGGCGGAAGCCUGAUCCAGCAACGCCGCGUGAGGGAUGACGGCCUUCGGGUUGUAAACCUCUUUCAGUACCGACGAAGCGCAAGUGACGGUAGGUACAGAAGAAGCACCGGCCAACUACGUG